CCUACGGGAGGCAGCAGUAAGGAAUAUUGGUCAAUGGACGCAAGUCUGAACCAGCCAUGCCGCGUGCAGGAUGACGGCCCUCUGGGUUGUAAACUGCUUUUAUACGGGAAGAAACCUCUGGUUGCGAUCAGAGCUGACGGUACCGUAAGAAUAAGGACCGGCUAACUUCGUGCCAGCAGCCGCGGUAAUACGAAGGGUCCAAGCGUUAUCCGGAUUUAUUGGGUUUAAAGGGUGCGUAGGCGGCUUAUUAAGUCAGUGGUGAAAGACUUCAGCUUAACUGAAGAACUGCCAUUGAUACUGAUGAGCUUGAAUAUACUUGAGGUGGGCGGAAUGUGUCAUGUAGCGGUGAAAUGCUUAGAUAUGACACAGAACACCGAUUGCGAAGGCAGCUCGCUAAAGUAUGAUUGACGCUGAUGCACGAAAGCGUGGGGAGCAAACAGGAUUAGAUACCCUGGUAGUCCACGCCCUAAACGUUGAUAACUCGAUGUGUGCGAUAUACAGUACGCGUCCAAGCGAAAGCAUAAGUUAUCCACCUGGAGUACGUCGCAGAUUGAAACUCAAANAGAGUAGAGNGNGAGAGNGCGACGACGACGACGAGGGAGGAG
rnacentral:rRNA from 1 species